rnacentral:rRNA from 1 species
AGUGUUGUUGGGUAGGGGAGCGUUCUGUAAGCCUGCGAAGGUGUACUGUGAGGUAUGCUGGAGGUAUCAGAAGUGCGAAUGCUGACAUAAGUAACGAUAAUGCGGGUGAAAAACCCGCACGCCGGAAGACCAAGGGUUCCUGUCCAACGUUAAUCGGGGCAGGGUGAGUCGACCCCUAAGGCGAGGCUGAAAAGCGUAGUCGAUGGGAAACGGGUUAAUAUUCCCGUACUGGUGGUAACUGCGAUGGGGGAACGGAGAAGGCUAGGUUGUCCGGGCGACGGUCGUCCCGGUUCAAGCAGGUAGGCAGAGUGAUUAGGCAAAUCCGGUCACUUAAUGCUGAGAUGUGAUGACGAACCACUAAGGUGGUGAAGCAAUUGAUGCCCCGCUUCCAGGAAAAGCCUCUAAGCUUCAGGUUACCAACAAUCGUACCCCAAACCGACACAGGUGGUCAGGUAGAGAAUACUCAGGCGCUUGAGAGAACUCGGGUGAAGGAACUAGGCAAAAUGGUGCCGUAACUUCGGGAGAAGGCACGCUGGCGGUAGGUAAAGUCCCUUGCGGACGGCGCCCAAGCCAGUCGAAGAUACCAGCUGGCUGCAACUGUUUAUUAAAAACACAGCACUGUGCAAACACGAAAGUGGACGUAUACGGUGUGACGCCUGCCCGGUGCUGGAAGGUUAAUUGAUGGGGUCAGCCGCAAGGCGAAGCUCCUGAUCGAAGCCCCAGUAAACGGCGGCCGUAACUAUAACGGUCCUAAGGUAGCGAAAUUCCUUGUCGGGUAAGUUCCGACCUGCACGAAUGGCGUAAUGAUGGCCAGGCUGUCUCCACCCGAGACUCAGUGAAAUUGAACUCGCUGUGAAGAUGCAGUGUACCCGCGGCAAGACGGAAAGACCCCGUGAACCUUUACUAUAGCUUGACACUGAACAUUGAGCCUUGAUGUGUAGGAUAGGUGGGAGGCUUUGAAGUGUGGACGCCAGUCUGCAUGGAGCCAACCUUGAAAUACCACCCUUUAACGUUUGAUGUUCUAACCUAGGCCCAUAAACUGGGUCGGGGACCGUGUCUGGUGGGUAGUUUGACUGGGGCGGUCUCCUCCUAAAGAGUAACGGAGGAGCACGAAGGUUGGCUAAGCAUGGUCGGACAUCAUGCGGUUAGUGCAAAGGCAUAAGCCAGCUUGACUGCGAGAGUGACGGCUCGAGCAGGUACGAAAGUAGGUCUUAGUGAUCCGGUGGUUCUGAAUGGAAGGGCCAUCGCUCAACGGAUAAAAGGUACUCCGGGGAUAACAGGCUGAUACCGCCCAAGAGUUCAUAUCGACGGCGGUGUUUGGCACCUCGAUGUCGGCUCAUCACAUCCUGGGGCUGAAGUAGGUCCCAAGGGUAUGGCUGUUCGCCAUUUAAAGUGGUACGCGAGCUGGGUUUAGAACGUCGUGAGACAGUUCGGUCCCUAUCUGCCGUGGGCGUUGGAAGAUUGAGAGGGGUUGCUCCUAGUACGAGAGGACCGGAGUGAACGCACCACUGGUGUUCGGGUUGUCAUGCCAAUGGCAUUGCCCGGUAGCUAAGUGCGGAAGAGAUAACCGCUGAAAGCAUCUAAGCGGGAAACUUGCCUCGAGAUGAGUCUUCCCUGUCACUUUAAGUGACCUAAAGGAACGUUUAAGACUAAGACGUUGAUAGGCUGGGUGUGUAAGCGUAGCGAUACGUUGAGCUAACCAGUACUAAUGAACCGUGAGGCUUAACCUG